rnacentral:rRNA from 1 species
GUCUUUUUGUUAAAAAUUUAAAGUCAGGCCUGCCCACUGAAACUUUAAAUGGCCGUGGUAUUUUGACCGUGCUAAGGUAGCAUAAUCAUUAGUUUUUUAAUUGAAAGCUGGAAUGAAAGGUUUGAUAAAAAAAUGACUGUCUCUAUUUAAUUUUAUUAGAAAUUUAUUUUUAAGUUCAAAAGCUUAAUUUUUAUUAAAAGACGAGAAGACCCUAUAGAGUUUAAUAAUUUAAGGUAAUUUAUAUUUUAGAAUUAAUUUAUUUAUUUUUUAAUAUUAUUUAAUUGGGGUGAUUGAAAAAUUUAAUUAACUUUUUUUAUAUUUAACCAUUAAUUUAUGAUAAUUUGAUCCAAUUUUUUUUGAUUAUAAGAUAAAAUUACCUUAGGGAUAACAGCGUAAUUUUUUUAGAAAGUUCAAAUUAAAAGAAAAGAUUGCGACCUCGAUGUUGGAUUAAAAUUAAAUUUUGGUGUAGAAGCUAAAAAUUUUAAGUCUGUUCGACUUUUAAAAUUUUACA